rnacentral:rRNA from 1 species
UACGUAGGUGGCAAGCGUUGUCCGGAAUUAUUGGGCGUAAAGCGCGCGCAGGCGGAUAGGUCAGUCUGUCUUAAAAGUUCGGGGCUUAACCCCGUGAUGGGAUGGAAACUGCUGAUCUAGAGUAUCGGAGAGGAAAGUGGAAUUCCUAGUGUAGCGGUGAAAUGCGUAGAUAUUAGGAAGAACACCAGUGGCGAAGGCGACUUUCUGGACGAAAACUGACGCUGAGGCGCGAAAGCCAGGGGAGCGAACGGG